rnacentral:rRNA from 1 species
UACGUAGGGGGCAAGCGUUGUCCGGAUUCAUUGGGCGUAAAGCGCGUGUAGGCGGCCAGGUAGGUCCGACGUGAAAACUGGAGGCUCAACCUCCAGCUGUCGUUGGAAACCAUCUGGCUAGAGUCCGGAAGAGGAGAGUGGAGUUCCUGGUGUAGCGGUGAAAUGCGCAGAUAUCAGGAAGAACACCAAUGGCGAAGGCAGCUCUCUGGGACGGUAUUGACGCUAAGGCGCGAAAGCGUGGGGAGCAAACAGG